rnacentral:rRNA from 1 species
UUGAACGCUGGCGGCAGGCCUAACACAUGCAAGUCGAACGGUAACAGGAAGCAGCUUGCUGCUUUGCUGACGAGUGGCGGACGGGUGAGUAAUGUCUGGGAAACUGCCUGAUGGAGGGGGAUAACUACUGGAAACGGUAGCUAAUACCGCAUAACGUCGCAAGACCAAAGAGGGGGACCUUCGGGCCUCUUGCCAUCGGAUGUGCCCAGAUGGGAUUAGCUUGUUGGUGGGGUAACGGCUCACCAAGGCGACGAUCCCUAGCUGGUCUGAGAGGAUGACCAGCCACACUGGAACUGAGACACGGUCCAGACUCCUACGGGAGGCAGCAGUGGGGAAUAUUGCACAAUGGGCGCAAGCCUGAUGCAGCCAUGCCGCGUGUAUGAAGAAGGCCUUCGGGUUGUAAAGUACUUUCAGCGGGGAGGAAGGGAGUAAAGUUAAUACCUUUACUCAUUGACGUUACCCGCAGAAGAAGCACCGGCUAACUCCGUGCCAGCAGCCGCGGUAAUACGGAGGGUGCAAGCGUUAAUCGGAAUUACUGGGCGUAAAGCGCACGCAGGCGGUUUGUUAAGUCAGAUGUGAAAUCCCCGGGCUCAACCUGGGAACUGCAUCUGAUACUGGCAAGCUUGAGUCUCGUAGAGGGGGGUAGAAUUCCAGGUGUAGCGGUGAAAUUCGUAGAGAUCUGGAGGAAUACCGGUGGCGAAGGCGGCCCCCUGGACGAAGACUGACGCUCAGGUGCGAAAGCGUGGGGAGCAAACAGGAUUAGAUACCCUGGUAGUCCACGCCGUAAACGAUGUCGACUUGGAGGUUGUGCCCUUGAGGCGUGGCUUCCGGAGCUAACGCGUUAAGUCGACCGCCUGGGGAGUACGGCCGCAAGGUUAAAACUCAAAUGAAUUGACGGGGGCCCGCACAAGCGGUGGAGCAUGUGGUUUAAUUCGAUGCAACGCGAAGAACCUUACCUGGUCUUGACAUCCACAGAACUUUCCAGAGAUGGAUUGGUGCCUUCGGGAACUGUGAGACAGGUGCUGCAUGGCUGUCGUCAGCUCGUGUUGUGAAAUGUUGGGUUAAGUCCCGCAACGAGCGCAACCCUUAUCCUUUGUUGCCAGCGGUCCGGCCGGGAACUCAAAGGAGACUGCCAGUGAUAAACUGGAGGAAGGUGGGGAUGACGUCAAGUCAUCAUGGCCCUUACGACCAGGGCUACACACGUGCUACAAUGGCGCAUACAAAGAGAAGUGACCUCGCGAGAGCAAGCGGACCUCAUAAAGUGCGUCGUAGUCCGGAUUGGAGUCUGCAACUCGACUCCAUGAAGUCGGAAUCGCUAGUAAUCGUGGAUCAGAAUGCCACGGUGAAUACGUUCCCGGGCCUUGUACACACCGCCCGUCACACCAUGGGAGUGGGUUGCAAAAGAAGUAGGUAGCUUAACCUUCGGGAGGGCGCUUACCACUUUGUGAUUCAUGACUGGGGUG